GGUACCUUUAAUUCAGUCCAGAGAGGCUGGCAAGGGCAGCGGAUUUUUAUAAUCACGCGUGAAUCAGGGCAUAUUCCGUCAGGGCUGCUCUGUGUCUUCGCGCGGGUUAUGAUGCAAAAAGAGGCUACUUGUCAGUUUGAGACUUGACGAGUAGCCUCUUUUU
rfam:Bacillus sp. FJAT-27264 scaffold11, whole genome shotgun sequence.